rnacentral:rRNA from 1 species
UACAGAGGGGGCAAGCGUUGUUCGGAAUUACUGGGCGUAAAGGGCGCGUAGGCGGCCUGUUAGGUCGAACGUGAAAUCCCCGGGCUCAACCCGGGAACUGCGUCCGAUACUGGCAGGCUUGAAUCCGGGAGAGGGAUGCGGAAUUCCAGGUGUAGCGGUGAAAUGCGUAGAUAUCUGGAGGAACACCGGUGGCGAAGGCGGCAUCCUGGACCGGCAUUGACGCUGAGGCGCGAAAGCCAGGGGAGCAAACGGG